rnacentral:lncRNA from 1 species
UGUUGGCACUAUGUGAUGACUGCCUUGUGCCCAGCUGCCGAGCGCAGUUACCAUGCCCAGAUGGCGGCUCAGGGUCGUGUGGCGGCAGAGCCCUGCGUUCAUUGUUGGAGUGAUGGAUUUGGUUGUUCAGAUGUUUACUAAGCAUCUCUCCUGUGCCAGGUCCUGCGCCCUGUGCGACUCAGGCACAAAGACUGGGAAUUUCUGGGGAGCUGAACCAGGCGGACAGGAUUUGGAACCUGGGAGCGAUUCUCUUUGUCCGAAGCGGCCUCUCACCAGUCCAAUCCAGUGUGUAGGUUAAUAAGGCUUAAACUUUAAAGGCAGGGUGAACAUCUGAUUGACAAGCUGCUGAAUGAGAGUCCAGGGGGAAGUUCUGGGCUUGGAAAGUGCCCCGCUUCCUGAGAUGCAGCUGAAUUUUAAAGAGCCCCGGGCUCGCCACCUCCAGAGGCCGACUGGCACUGCUCAGCCCGCUUCCAGCUGGUCUCGGAAUCAGCACCGGAAGUGCUGCCUGGAAGAAUCACUCUUGUCCCCCAAUGAAAGGUGACUCAGGCUGGGAUCGAUCGCAAGUCAGCGUGAUCAGCUCCGAGGUGACCCUGCUCAGCCUUGGGCCAGGCUCAGUCCCGAUCCCCACCAGGAGCCCCCAGAAGCCGGGCCAGGGAAACUGUGGCUGAACAAUGAGAAAUACACGAGUGGCUGCAUCUCCACCUUCAGAGCUGUUUGGAUACCAAAUGAGUUACUUCAAGCAGAGCAGAGCUUGGUCUACAGCAAGCUGUUGAUGUCAGUGGACCACAUCUCCACGAAUGCUGCGCUGCACAACAAGCAGAGGUUGGCAUCCUCCUUGGUAGUUAAGCUCCUGUGAUAUCGUGAAAUACAUAUGUGGUCUGCUUCCCUCCAAGAAUCCUCCAAAAUGGGAACAGAUUGCUUCGUGAGACUGGCUCAGCCCAGGCAGAGAGCAGCAGGCCCAGGUGCGGCGAGGCAGCGCAUGAGGCCCAGCGUCGUAUGAACCUCGAGGUCACUCCAGGCCUCCUGCUCCCCGGAGGGGCAGAAGUGCACCGCGGUCAGGAGCCAGGCUUCAGGGUCUGAUUUUCCUGUUCGGAGUCCUCUCUUUGCCAGUUGCUGGCUGUGGAAGUUGCUCCAGGACACACAGAUUGGCGUCACGUGGGCUGAGAUGAGGUAAAGCCAUCAGGAGGCCUGGUCAGAAGGAGUGAGCAGCGUACCUCCCACCGCCAGGAAAAGCCGAACUCUGAGUUUCCUCCCCA